rnacentral:lncRNA from 1 species
AGCACUUUUCCUUGCUGCCGCCAUGAGAAGAAGUAUGUGUUUUCUUCCCCUUCUGACAUGAUUGUUAAGUUUCCUGAGGCCUCCCCAGCCAUGCUGAACUGUAUUGCCUCCAGCACACUGUUUACAUUCCUACUGUGUCUCAGCAUCUGUUCUCCUGGGAAUAGAACUGGUCCACCUGAACAUAUGAUCUGUGCUGCUGUUGGUGCAGGAGGACAGGAGGGAAAUAAGCUGGAAGCCAUGGAUGUGGAGAGUCUGGCUUCAAGAUGGAGCUUGUUUACCUGCAGGUUGUCCCCCAGGAUGCCCUCACAGCUUGUGCGUGACAAAGAUGUCCUCCGUGUACACAUAAGGUAGCGCUGAGAAGCCACGAGAAAGCACCUAGUGAUUUUAACAUAAACAUUUCCACAGCAUUUUCAAGUUCUGCGAAAAAGCCCGGUGAUAGAUCAGCCUCGCGGUGUGCAGCGCCGGCAGCUCCGCACUUCGGACACCUGGGGGCGCCCGUGCCAUUCCGCCGGCGACUGGGACUCGUCGCCCGGGAAACAAAGAUGGGGAUUUAAAGAAAAGCCUUCAAAAUGCAACUCCGAAUGUCUACCCUGAGCAGCAUGCGUGUAAAAAUUCAUGAAGAUUAGAUUUCAUUUCAUGUAUUUUUACUUCAGUGGAAAGAAAUGCAGGUGAUUUUCUGACUGCG